rnacentral:antisense_RNA from 1 species
CUUGACCGAGCCGAGCCACAGGGGCUCGCCCUCGCGGUCCUGUCCGUACGUGGCGAGCAGCGCCUGGGCCUC